rnacentral:miRNA from 3 species
GUCAACACUUGCUGGUUUCCUCU